GGGUUAUGUACUGUGAUUUGGUUGGCCAUAAAAGCAAGAAAAAAAGAUAUGGAAAGAAAGAAUAAGAAUGGCAGAACUUGUUGGAAAGGAAGGAUGGAUGAGGCGGAAGCGUAGCAGAGACAUCUUCGCAAAAGGUGCUUUGAUACCAUGUAAAAUUUCACACCUUCCAUUUAGUGAAUUAGAAAAGCAAAUCCAGCAACCCAAGCAUGAACUAAAGUGAAAUGGAAAAAAGAGCAAGAAGAUGAACAAUAACAUAGUGAACACCUCCAAAAUUGAAUAAUACCUCUUGAUUGAUUUUAUUAAUAGAUGAAAAGUAAUUGAUGGAUUUAUAAGCUAAAGGGGAAAAAAUAUAUAUAACAAAGUAGAAGCUAAAAAGAGAAAAUAACAAAUAAAACUAAAUUAACUAACUUAAUUGUUUUUCCCGCCAAAUUCCUUCUCUUCAUUUUCGGAGAUAGUUUGGGCUUUUCAUGGGCUAGGAUGAAUGCUUGAUCUAUUUGGUUGAUUGUUGUAUUUGUUGAAUGUUGGUACGAGGUGCGAUUAUAACAAUGUUGUAACUUUGUUGGUGACAUCAAUGCAAACAAGAGAGUUGAAACAAAACUCUUACUCAGAGGUGGGGCGCGGAUGGUUGUGAUGCAACGCUCUCGAUGGAGAACUCAUGGAUGUGAGAUUAGCAAAAAAAAUCCAUAAAAAAUGAGGUGAAUACAAAACAAGAAGCGUUGAAAACAAGAAGGUGAAAAAACAAUAAUGAAUAGAAGGAAAGUGGAAGGCACAUGAGUAUUUAAAAAGUGAUUAUAAUCCCAGCUUUUGAU
rnacentral:lncRNA from 1 species